rnacentral:rRNA from 1 species
AUUGAACGCUGGCGGCAGGCUUAACACAUGCAAGUCGAGCGGGGUGAUGGUGCUUGCACUAUCACUUAGCGGCGGACGGGUGAGUAAUGCUUAGGAAUCUGCCUAUUAGUGGGGGACAACAUCUCGAAAGGGAUGCUAAUACCGCAUACGUGCUACGGGAGAAAGCAGGGGACCACUUGUGACCUUGCGCUACUAGAUGAGCCUAAGUCGGAUUAGCGAGUUGGUGGGGUAAGGGCCUACCAAGGCGACGAUCUGUAGCGGGUCUGGGAGGAUGAUCCGCCACACUGGGACUGAGACACGGCCCAGACUCCUACGGGAGGCAGCAGUGGGGAAUAUUGGACAAUGGGGGGAACCCUGAUCCAGCCAUGCCGCGUGUGUGAAGAAGGCCUUAUGGUUGUAAAGCACUUUAAGCGAGGAGGAGGCUCUUUUGGUUAAUACCCAAGAUGAGUGGACGUUACUCGCAGAAUAAGCACCGGCUAACUCUGUGCCAGCCGCCGCUGUAA